UGGGACGUCGGCAAGCGGCUAAGCCACCGGGUUUUGAUCCCGGCAUUCGGAGGUUCGAAUCCUCCCGUCCCAG
rnacentral:tRNA from 1 species